rnacentral:rRNA from 1 species
UGCCAGACUCCUACGGGAGGCAGCAGUGGGGAAUAUUGCACAAUGGGGGAAACCCUGAUGCAGCGACGCCGCGUGAGCGAUGAAGUAUUUCGGUAUGUAAAGCUCUAUCAGCAGGGAAGAAGAUGACGGUACCUGACUAAGAAGCCCCGGCUAACUACGUGCCAGCAGCCGCGGUAAUACGUAGGGGGCAAGCGUUAUCCGGAUUUACUGGGUGUAAAGGGAGCGUAGACGGCGAUGCAAGCCAGAUGUGAAAGGCCGGGGCUCAACCCCGGGACUGCAUUUGGAACUGUGUGGCUGGAGUGUCGGAGAGGCAGGCGGAAUUCCUAGUGUAGCGGUGAAAUGUGUAGAUAUUAGGAGGAACACCAGUGGCGAAGGCGGCCUGCUGGACGAUGACUGACGUUGAGGCUCGAAAGCGUGGGGAGCAAACAGGAUUAGAUACCCCAGUAUA